GACCUCGACCCUCGUCUCUCCGAGGGCCACUCUUGUCUCCUUUUUUUUUUUUUUUUGAACUUUUGAAGUGGUAAUCGAGGACAGCUCCUUUGAAUCUUCAUCCCAGUAAACGCCAAAGUUACAGACUAAAGAAGAUGUCUGAUUAGCAGAUGACCUUCGUCCCCAUCUCUGGUCAAUCCAAUAAUAUCUCAAUCUUGACAGGGAAGAAGAACACCCUCUUGGUGUCUGGAUCAGACCCACCAUUUUUUUCGAUCUAAUCCGUCCUCCAGAAGCAACCCAAUCCUCAAAAAGAGCUCAAGAACAUAGCCACAGAGGAGCAAACAAGGGAACCAAAUCUUGAUGGCAAAGUGCUUCAGCUUUGCAGAGACAAGGAACCGAUGCUUCCGCUUCUCCUUCUCCCGGGCGGGCCUGAAGUCGGCCACCACCGACCUCGGCGACGGCACCGUCAUGCACUGUUGGGUCCCCAAGACGUACAAGCCCAGCAAGCCCAACUUGCUCCUCUUGCACGGCGUCGGAGCCAACGCAAUGUGGCAGUGGAACGAGUUCAUCUCGCCCUUCAUCGCCAGGUUCAACGUGUACGUGCCUGAUCUCUUGUUCUUCGGCGAUUCCUACACGACCCGGCCCGAGCGGACCGAGCAGUUUCAGGCUCAGUGCGUCGCAGGAGUCUUGAAGGCUCACGGAGUGAGGAAGACGAAUGUGGUGGGGAUAAGUUACGGCGGGUUCGUGGCGUACAGCUUGGCGGCGCAGUUCCCAGAGAUGGUGGAGAAGCUGGUUCUUUGCUGUGCAGGGGUGUGUAUGGAGGAUAAGGACAUGGAGGAUGGGAUGUUCCCGGUGAAGAGCGUGGACGAGGCCGUGAGUUUCCUGUUCCCGCAGACGCCGGAGAAGGUGAAGGAGAUGCUCAAGGUUGUGUUCUACAAGCCGGCGGUGAAUAUGCCCUCUUGCUUUAUGCAGGAUUUCAUUGAUGUUAUGUGCACGGAGUACCUUCAAGAAAGGACAGAGCUGGUCGAUGCCUUACACAAAGAUAGGAAGAUGUCUAAUCUUCCCAAAAUUAACCAGCCGACACUGAUAAUCUGGGGGGAAUAUGAUAAAGUCUUUCCAUUGGCAUUGGGUCACAGAUUAAAGAGGCAUCUGGAUGAAAGCGCACAACUAGUGGUUAUAAAGGAUUGUGGUCAUGCGAUGAAUGUAGAGAAGCCGAAAGAGAUGUACAAACACAUCAAGUCGUUCCUCGUGGGUCCACAACUUUCACCUAAGAAGGCAAAUCAAAGCAAUGGCCAGAAGGUGGACUAAGAGCCAGCAAUGACUUCAUAUCAAUUUAAGCUAUGUAAUUAGAAGAAACAUAGUUCGGCAUAUUGAACCUAUGAAGAAUGAGUUUUGCUUCAAUUGAAGUUGCCCGGGCUGAUAAACUGCAGCAUCAGAUCAUGGUGCAGAGUCAAUCAAGACAUUAGCUCCUGCAGAAGGAGGCUGAGGUAGUGAAGGCAGAGUAUUUGUUCUCAACAGGUGUUAUCAAGUUGCAUGAGAAGUAGCCGUUAGAAUUUCCAU